GUUAAGCGCGCUUGGGCCAUAGUAGUACUGGGAUGGGUGACCUCCCGGGAAGUCCUGGUGUUGCACCCU
rnacentral:rRNA from 1 species